ACUAAUAAGCCGUCUAAAGUAAAGGCUACAAAUUCCGAGAGUGAAUCCCAGCUAACAAUUGAUGCAUCGUCGUCUCAUGCUAACGGAACUGGACUUUUCCCAUGGGUGGACGAUCCAAAUGCGCUGGUAUUCUACGGUGAACAAGUGACAAAAACAAGCAGAUUUAUUUUGUAAUGUAUGCAUUACUCAGAAUAUGGAACUCAUUACGUUCAUUCUAUUUCAGGUGUCACAUCAUCCUCCAAUUUCUGCCUUUUAUGCGGAGCAUCCUCGAAAGAAAAUAUCCCUAAACGCACAUAUUUGGACAAAAUCAAAAUUUCUCGGACUAUCAAUUAGUAGACAUUUAUUAAUCAAAGUUUCUGGAAUUUUAUGAUGA